rnacentral:tRNA from 2 species
GGAGACGUGGGUGAGUGGCUGAAACCACCGGUUUGCUAAAUCGACGUACCCUAACAGGGUACCGCGGGUUCGAAUCCCGCCGUCUCCGCCA